rnacentral:rRNA from 1 species
AUUGAACGCUGGCGGCAUGCCUUGCACAUGCAAGUCGAACGGUAACAGGUCUUCGGAUGCUGACGAGUGGCGAACGGGUGAGCAAUACAUCGGAACGUGCCUAGUAGUGGGGGAUAACUACUCGAAAGAGUGGCUAAUACCGCAUGAGAUCUACGGAUGAAAGCAGGGGAUCGCAAGACCUUGUGCUACUAGAGCGGCCGAUGGCAGAUUAGGUAGUUGGUGGGAUAAAAGCUUACCAAGCCGACGAUCUGUAGCUGGUCUGAGAGGACGAUCAGCCACACUGGGACUGAGAAACGGCCCAGACUCCUACGGGAGGCAGCAGUGGGGAAUUUUGGACAAUGGGCGCAAGCCUGAUCCAGCAAUGCCGCGUGCAGGAUGAAGGCCUUCGGGUUGUAAACUGCUUUUGUACGGAACGAGAAGCCCCGGGUUAAUACCCUGGGGUCAUGACGGUACCGUAAGAAUAAGCACCGGCUAACUACGUGCCAGCCGCCGCGGUAA